rnacentral:rRNA from 1 species
AUUAAGCCAUGCGAGUCAAAUGUUCUUCGUGAACAUGGCGUACUGCUCAGUAACACGUGGAUAACCUGCCCUAAGGUCCGGCAUAACCCCGGGAAACUGGGGAUAAUUCCGGAUAAACCAUAGAUACUGGAAUGUUCUGUGGUUAAAAGCUCCGGUGCCUUAGGAUGGAUCUGCGGCCUAUCAGGUAGUAGUGGGUGUAAUGUACCUACUAGCCGACGACGGGUACGGGUUGUGAGAGCAAGAGCCCGGAGAUGGAUUCUGAGACAUGAAUCCAGGCCCUACGGGGCGCAGCAGGCGCGAAAACUUUACAAUGCGGGAAACCGCGAUAAGGGGACACCGAGUGCCAGCAUAUUACGUUGGCUGUCCAUAUGUAUAAAUAACAUGUGUUAGCAAGGGCCGGGCAAGACCGGUGCCAGCCGCCGCGGUAACACCGGCGGCCCGAGUGGUAGCCGCUAUUAUUGGGUCUAAAGGGUCCGUAGCCGGUUUGAUCAGUCUUCCGGGAAAUCUGACAGCUUAACUGUUAGGCUUCUGGGGGAUACUGUCAGACUUGGAACCGGGAGAGGUAAGAGGUACUAC